rnacentral:rRNA from 1 species
AACGCGAAGAACCUUACCUACCCUUGACAUGUACGGAAGUCCGCUGAGAGGUGGAUGUGCCCGAAAGGGAGCCGUAACACAGGUGCCGCAUGGCUGUCGUCAGCUCGUGUCGUGAGAUGUUGGGUUAAGUCCCGCAACGAGCGCAACCCUUGUCCCUAGUUGCUACGCAAGAGCACUCCAGGGAGACUGCCGGUGACAAACCGGAGGAAGGUGGGGAUGACGUCAAGUCCUCAUGGCCCUUAUGGGUAGGGCUUCACACGUCAUACAAUGGUCGGAACAGAGGGUUGCCAAGCCGCGAGGUGGAGCCAAUCCCAGAAAACCGAUCGUAGUCCGGAUCGCAGUCUGCAACUCGACUGCGUGAAGCUGGAAUCGCUAGUAAUCGCGGAUCAGCAUGCCGCGGUGAAUACGUUCCC